GACGGAAGGUGCGAGCGUUGUUCGGAUUUACUGGGCGUAAAGGGUGUGUAGGCGGCCCGGCCAGCGGGAAGUGAAAUCCCGGGGUUCAACUCCGGAAUGGCUUUCCGAACUGCCGGGCUCGAGUCCGGGAGAGGGGGGUGGAAUUCCUGGUGGAGCGGUGAAAUGCGUAGAUAUCAGGAGGAACACCGGUGGCGAAGGCGGCCCCCUGGAACGUGACUGACGCUGAGACACGAAAGCGUGGGGAGCGAACAGG
rnacentral:misc_RNA from 1 species